rnacentral:rRNA from 1 species
GACGAACGCUGGCGGCGUGCCUAAUACAUGCAAGUAGAACGCACAGAUUAUACCGUAGCUUGCUACACCAUAGACUGUGAGUUGCGAACGGGUGAGUAACGCGUAGGUAACCUGCCUGGUAGCGGGGGAUAACUAUUGGAAACGAUAGCUAAUACCGCAUAAUAUUGAUUAUUGCAUGAUAAUUAAUUGAAAGGUGCAAUUGCACCACUACCAGAUGGACCUGCGUUGUAUUAGCUAGUAGGUGAGGUAACGGCUCACCUAGGCGACGAUACAUAGCCGACCUUGGAGGGUGAUCGGCCAAACUGGGACUGAGACACGGCCCAGACUCCUACGGGGGGCAGCAGUAGGGAAUCUUCGGCAAUGGACGGAAGUCUGGCCGAGCAACGCCGCGUGAGUGAAGAAGGUUUUCGGAUCGUAAAGCUCUUUUGUAAGAGAAGAACGGGUGUGAGAGUGGAAAGUUCACACUGUGACGGUAUCUUACCAGAAAGGGACGGCUAACUACGUG